AUAUGUCAUCAGUAUGCGCUGAUGAUCCCCCGCUCAUUCUGUCGAUGCAGGGGGGAGCAGACCCCGCCCCUGCAGCUCUACAGCAUCGUUUAGAGAGGCGGUUGCUGGUUGGUUGAUGCAGAACGGGUUAAAACUGAAUUACGUGACCCAACGAAGACGGAAGUCCUUUG